CCUACGGGAGGCAGCAGGCGCGAAACCUCCGCAAUGUGAGAAAUCGCGACGGGGGGAUCCCAAGUGCCAUUCUUAACGGGAUGGCUUUUCAUUAGUGUAAAGAGCUUUUGGAAUAAGAGCUGGGCAAGACCGGUGCCAGCCGCCGCGGUAACACCGGCAGCUCUAGUGGUAACAAUUUUUAUUGGGCCUAAAGCGUCCGUAGCCGGUUUAAUAAGUCUCUGGUGAAAUCCUGUAGCUUAACUGUGGGAAUUGCUGGAGAUACUAUUAGACUUGAGACCGGGAGAGGUUAGAGGUACUCCCAGGGUAGAGGUGAAAUUCUGUAAUCCUGGGAGGACCGCCUGUUGCGAAGGCGUCUAACUGGAACGGUUCUGACGGUGAGGGACGAAAGUUAGGGGCGCGAACCGGAUUAGAUACCCGGGUAGUCCUAACUGUAAACGAUGCGGACUUGGUGUUGGGGUGGCUKUGAGCUGCUUCASUGCCGRARGGAAGCUGUUAAGUCCGCCGCCUGGGAAGUACGGUCGCAAGACUGAAACUUAAAGGAAUUGGNGGGGGAGCACCACAACGCGUGGAGCSUGCGGUUUAAUUGGAUUCAACGCCGGACAUCUCACCAGAGGCGACAGCUGUAUGAUAGCCAGGUUGAUGACUUUGCUUGACUAGCUGAGAGGAGGUGCAUGGCCGCCGUCAGCUCGUACCGUGAGGCGUCCUGUWAAGUCAGGCAACGUGCGAGACCCACGCCCUUAKUUUMCMRSSGDUYCYUUUUUKGWURCSKGSSRYACUAAGDGRACSGSCUAYGRYAWAUAGKAGGAAGKAGUGGACGACGGUAGGUCCGUAUGCCCCGAAUCCUCUGGGCAACACGCGGGCUACAAUGGCUGAGACAAUGGGUUCCGACACCGAAAGGUGGAGGUAAUCCUCUAAACUUAGUCGUAGUUCGGAUUGAGGACUGUAACUCGUUCUCAUGAAGCUGGAAUGCGUAGUAAUCGCGUAUCACUAUUGCGCGGUGAAUACGUCCCUGCUCCUUGCACACACCGC
rnacentral:rRNA from 1 species